UAAAAAAUGGCCACAUCGUUCUAGUAAAUAUUUUUUGAAAAGAAAACUUGAUCAUUCAUCGUGCUUAUCAGUUUCUCAUCGACAAAUUUUACACAAGAUUGGUUGAUUUUGAAAUCAUACUGUAGGUAUAGAAUUCGUAAAACACCUGCAGUUUUAUAGCGUUUGGUAUCCUUGGAAACAAGCAAGUAGUUUAUUUGUUUGGAAACAUUUUUUUUUUUAUUUCUGUGAUAUCUUUGCAAAAAUUCGAUACUCUAAGCAUCGAAAAUGCUUGGCACAAUUCAAAUAACAGGCGAAGAUCUGAACGACGUUGAAAUCAAUGAUAUUUGUAAUUCUCUAAGAAACGGUUCAGUCCGUUUGCUGUCUUUGAGAGGCUGUCAUAUGGACGAUGCUAACUUCAAACGUAUUUCAGAUUCGUUGAAGACCAACGCUUCUUUAGUUCAAUUGAACUUUAGUUUGGGAGUUUUGAGCAAUAAACAAAGGAUAAAAUGGUUGUCCGAUGCCUUGAAACACAAUAAGAAUCUGUCAUCAUUACA